rnacentral:piRNA from 1 species
UGAGAGUCAGGUCCAUUCACAUGCC